rnacentral:misc_RNA from 1 species
UACGUAGGUGGCAAGCGUUGUCCGGAUUUAUUGGGCGUAAAGCGAGUGCAGGCGGCUCGAUAAGUCUGAUGUGAAAGCCUUCGGCUCAACCGGAGAAUUGCAUCAGAAACUGUCGAGCUUGAGUACAGAAGAGGAGAGUGGAACUCCAUGUGUAGCGGUGAAAUGCGUAGAUAUAUGGAAGAACGCCGGUGGCGAAGGCGGCUCUCUGGUCUGUUACUGACGCUGAGGCUCGAAAGCAUGGGUAGCGAACAGG